AGUAUUAUGCUGGCUGCCUAAUGGGUACAAAAUGGCUGCUUCAUCUUCAAGGCAUCAAGUCUGCUUCCUAGGAAGUAAGAAGGAAGUGGGAGGAGCAAAGGGGUUAAAGACCUUCUUUUCAAGAAGCUUUUCUCCUUCUCUUUCUUCUUUCUUUUUAAACCCUGGAAAAGAAGCCUUUCUCAGCACACUUAUGACUAUAUCCAAAAUGGCCAGCUGCAGUUCGAAGGCACACAAGGAGGAGAGAAUUUUGGAUGAGAGUUCAGACAAACAGUGGUGUCCACCGCAGGUACAUUGGAGAAGAAAAUCAUGGCAUCAUUUUCUUUGGUACAGAUUUUCAUGAUGUGUAGCCCACAUGCUGCAGGAAAAAGGACCUACGAGACUGUACCGUGUAGAAGGUCUGCACUGCUGAGAAGAAGGGGGAGUGUGCCCACUGGCAGCUCCCUCACACAUCAAAAGGUCAAGGCUUUCCUUUACACCUGAGUAAAACCUGACACCCUUCCAGGGUUUGGCCUGUAAUUCCUGGGGAAGAGGAGUCCAUGACCCUCAUCCAGAGAAGAUGGAGCUCGAGACCCAGAGGAGAAGGAAGGAGGACCUUGGGGUCAGGAGUCAAACUUCAUGCGGGACAUUUGGAAGGUUAACCAAUGACAUGCAUCUGUAAGAGGCCACCACAUUUAUCCCACAAAAUAUUCAGGAUCAUAGGAGGUCAUGAUAUUUAUACAGGGCAGUAAAACGAACAGUAUCUACCUAGGAGUCACAAUGUCUGUCCAAGGGAAUAGAAUAUAUAACAUUCAGAUUCUAUUUACUGGGUGAGAUACUUUUCACUUCUAGAAUAGGUGAUGUGAAGGAGGCUGGCACCCCAGCUUCACGUCUCCUCAUUUAGGAGGGACUGGGAGCCUGGAGCUGGACGUUCUGAAGUUACAGAGGAACUGAUUUCCUCGCCAAGAUGCUCCCCCACUGUAGGGGUGUCAAAGGUAACUUAAAAAGUGUGAUCUCAGGCAGCCUGGGUAGCUCAGUGGUUUAGCGCCACCUUUGGCCCAGGGCAUGAUCCUGGAGUCCUGGAAUCAAGUCCCACAUCGGGCUCCCUGCAUGGAGCCUGCUUCUCCCUCUGUCUGUGUCUCUGCCUCUCUCUCUCUCUCUCUCUCUCUCUCUCUCUGUCGCUCAUGAAUGAAUAAAUAAAAUCUUAAAAAAAAAGUGUGGUCUCUG
rnacentral:lncRNA from 12 species